rnacentral:rRNA from 1 species
UACGUAGGUGGCAAGCGUUGUCCGGAAUUAUUGGGCGUAAAGCGCGCGCAGGCGGUUCUUUAAGUCUGAUGUGAAAGCCCACGGCUCAACCGUGGAGGGUCAUUGGAAACUGGGGAACUUGAGUACAGAAGAGGAAAGCGGAAUUCCACGUGUAGCGGUGAAAUGCGUAGAGAUGUGGAGGAACACCAGUGGCGAAGGCGGCUUUCUGGUCUGUAACUGACGCUGAGGCGCGAAAGCGUGGGGAGCAAACAGG